AGAGAACAGGUUUGUACUGGUACGGAAUCCAGUUAGGUUAAUUGCCCGCCAUCACAACUGAAAAACUGUUGAAGAACUGCGUUAAACUAAAAACAAACACACAAACACAUACAUAAUUUUAGAAGAUUUUGCUGACAUGGAGCUGGUGGACAUAGCUCAGAGUUGUGAGCCUGCUCUCAAGGCAUAUAAUAGUGAUUUGGUGGUUGAAUCCAUACAAUUAGAGUGGAUCAGAUUUAAGAGGGAAAUUUAGAGGAUGAAAAUGACAGAAAAUGACAGGAGGUCUUUGCUAAGUUCUAGCUCUCUGAGUGAUCUGAUGUUAAUCCACACAGAGACUAUCUGAGUCUGUUGAGAAGUUUGAUCCAUUGGAUUCAAUAUUAUUAUGGAAUUCCUGUGGUAGUAGGGCUAGGAGACCAUUCUACAAUGAUAAAAAAAGUAAAGCCAGCCAAAUUCACCAAUUGCUGUCUCAGUAUAGACACAGAUGAUGUGCGGAAGAACUUGACAUGGCUAGGGAAGGUGUAUGUGAUAAUGAUGGUGACAAUGAUGACAAUGCCGCUGAUGAUGAGACUAAUGCACAGACAAGACCUCAUUGCUGUCAAAACAGAGCUUAUAGACUUAUGAUGGACCUUGUUGAGUAAUGAUUACUAAAAAUAUGUAGUAACACUUGAGUUGAAUAAUAUGACUGAAGUUUAUUUAAAUUGCUCAACAGGCAGAAGGACCACCGGAAAUCGUGUUGGACCAGCGGUUUGCAAAAGUUGCUGGUCCUUUAGGCCACCACAUAAAAAAAAGUUAGUGUCUAGCCCUCAACGUGUCUAUGACUGAGCUUAACCGGCUAAACAGACAAGACCUCAUUGCUGUCAAAACAGAGCUUAUAGACUUAUGAUGGACCUUGUUGAAUAAUAAUAACUGAAAAUAUGUAAUAAUAAUUGAGUUAAGUUGAAUAAUAUGACUGAAGUUUACUUAAAUUGCUCAACCGGCAGUAGAACCACCUGAAAUCUUGUUGGACCAGCAGUUUGCAAAAGUUGCUGGUCCUUUGGGACGUCUAGCCCUGAACGUGUCGACGACUGAGCUUAACCGGCUGAACAGUUUAUGGCACCAUUACCUAGUAUUUGUUGUAGUGUGCCAAUGAGAGCAUUUGUCCAUUCAGCAUUGGAUUAUGUGGGACCUUUCAUUACUGUCCAAGGUCGAGGAAAACAGCCUGAAAUAAGAUAUUUAUGUCUGUUUACUUGUCUGAAAUCUCAUUUGGAAUAGAUACUGAUGCAUUUCUAAAUUCGUUUUAUCAAUUUGCUGGUUGUAGAGAUCUCCCAGGAACAGUUCUGUCGGAUAAUGAAACAAACUGUCGAUAGUGAAAAGGAACUCAGAUAAUUAAUAAACGCGCUGAAUAAUGAUCAAAUAAAAGAAAAGACAGUAAAUAAAGGAGUUCAGUUGCAUUUCAUUCCUACAUUAGCACCACAUUGGAGAGGUGUACAUGAAAUCAUGGUGAAAAGUGAUAAACAAGCCAUUCAUUCCAUGUUACAGAAUGCUUCAGUGUCAGAUGAGGAACUUAUGACUGCAUUUGUAGCAGCAGAAGCUCUUAUCAAUAUGAGACCUCUUAUUUAUCUUACUCCAAAUCAUUUCCAACAUGGACAAAUAGGAGGGGAGUUCGCACCUGAGAGCCUUGAUACAAAUGAUUUCAACCCUACAAAUGGUACGAGUUCAAGAGUUAGUCUGAAACUUUUGGGGUUGUUGGAUUCGUGAGUGGUUGCCAAACCUAUGUACCUCCAAGAAAUGGAACAGAGUUUGACCAGAUCUGAAAGUUUGAGAUGUCGUUAUCAUGGUAUAGCCUUGGCCUUUAGGUGGUGUUACAUCCAUUCAUACAAGUGGCGAUGGUCAUGUGAGAGCAGUAAACAUUUUAGUAAGUGGUAAAGAAUUCACACAGCCCAUUACAAAGUUAAGCCCGUUAGAAAUUAACAGCAGUGAUUAAUAGUUAUGUGUUGUGCAGAAAUAUUGCAUUUUAUGUGACAAAAAGUGUAAAUAUUCUUGCAUGUGGAGGGCAUAAUAA